rnacentral:rRNA from 1 species
AUUGAACGCUGGCGGCGUGCUUAACACAUGCAAGUCGAGCGGUAACAGGCGUAGCAAUACGUGCUGACGAGCGGCGAACGGGUGAGUAAUGCUUCGGAAUCUGCCUAGUAGUGGGGAAUAACCAGUCGAAAGACUGGCUAAUGCCGCAUACGACCUUAUUUCGUAUUGGAAUUUGGUGAAAGCGGGGGAUCGCAAGACCUCGCGCUAAUAGAUGAGCCGAAGUCGGAUUAGCUAGUUGGUGAGGUAACGGCUCACCAAGGCGACAAUCCGUAGCUGGUCUGAGAGGACGACCAGCCACACUGGGACUGAGACACGGCCCAGACUCCUACGGGAGGCAGCAGUGGGGAAUAUUGGACAAUGGGGCAACCCUGAUCCAGCGACGCCGCGUGUGUGAAGAAGGCCUGCGGGUU